rnacentral:lncRNA from 1 species
AUCCAUAUGAGAAGAAUAUAAUCUGAAUUUUAAUUCAAAAGUGCUAAAAAACACUCUUCUUAGUAGCCUUAAUCAUACAUAAAUUCCAAUUACCUUAUUACUUUCAUGUUUAAGCAAUUUAGAUUUUUAUUAUAAGCCUCAAUCCUAAUCAGUGAGAUUUAACAAGCUAUAACUUGUAAUUUGACUGUCCACUUGAUGUAAAAUUUUGCAUGCAAUUGUCAAUGUAAGUCUUCUAUAUGCUCCAGAAUUUUCAAUCCAAUCCAACAUACAAAUUGUGAGAAAACCUUCAAAAAUUGCACUAAUGUCAUUCGGCUUACAACUUAAAAAGUGAAGCAAAAAUCCUAGCAAAGAUUUCUCCUUCUCCAUUAAUUAACUUUGAUUCAAAAUUGGUGUGCACCUUGAUCUUCAAGUCUUUCAAGACCAUGCCAAAUUUCACCUUAAUCCGACUAGUAGAUCUUUAGAUAUCACAGAAAUCCUACUCAAUCUCCAAACUACCAACUUUCAAAAUCCUCUUGUACUAAAAAUUAGAUAUCUCUAAAUCACAUUGUUAGAUUAUCACAAAAUUUUAUAUACACUUAGUACACCCAAUAAUCCAAAUAAUAUCAAAUUUUGAACUAUAGAUGCUACACCAAUCGCACAAACUAGCCAAAAUUGCUAGUCCUAAUUAUAUAAUAUAUAACCCAAAUCACCAAAAUAAACCUUGACUUUGAGCAACAAUUGCUAAGUCUUCAAAAAUCCUAAAAAAACAACUCUUAUUCUUUUAGAAAGAGCUUCAAACUAGCUCUCAAAUCUUUAUCUUUGAUCUUCAAAUGCCUCUGUAAUUUACCAUAGGCAGUCGUUUUAGUGACCAAAGGUUUGAUUUCGAUCCUGUCUCACAAACGGUCAUCCAGUAGGUAUCAAUCUAAUCUAUUAUAAG